rnacentral:lncRNA from 1 species
GAGAUGUCUCCGUCUGGCUGCCUUGGCCACCAAUAUGCAGCAAGACUACAUUUUUUACUAACAAAUCUGAAAACAGAAGUUCUAAAAAACUGAUUGCUGAGGAUGUAUCUUCAGCUAUAGCUUGGACUUCCCAAGGAGCUGUCCUCUUUUCAUUUAGCACAUUAGAGAUGCCAAAUGCUUAUGCCAUAAAGCAAGCUUCUCU